UUGAUCGUGAUAAAGCCUUAGUUUUUUUUUAUUUUCCUCUAAAAGAUACAGCCGUGAGUUUCACGUUCUAAUUUUUUUUCACUCACUGAAUCUGCUGUUGCAGGAAUACAAAUUAGAGGUGCAACAACAACAUAUUUCGUAGAUGAAAGAACCCAUCCAAAGGUUUGAUUUGGGUAUCAAGCAAUCUCAAUCGAGAUCGGUAAUGUGAAUAUAUCGAUCUAAAUCAAUGGAUUAUUCGUUUAACUUUGAACUAUUAAACGGUGCGGGAAGAUUAGUAGAAAACUUUCAACUUAAUUAUGGGCUAAUGGAUAGGGAUACGGUUUUAGUCCAACCCGUAACUUCGUCUCCUUCACCUGAGAAAUUUCUGCGUAUUCAUCUGUGUAUUUUACAAAUUUGAAUUUCUUGCUUUUGUGUGUGUGAUUGAAUUGGAUUAUCCAAAUAAAUUUGAUUCGUUUUACUUUUGAGAUGGAUUUGGUAUUCUAGUGAGUAAUAAUUAGGAUACUGUCGAAGAAGAUUGGAAUUCGGGGUAAUCUGUAUAUAAGUUCAGAAUUAAAAUCAGAGUUGCUGUUUCUCUCUGAAGCAAUGAUACUGGUGGUGCUGGUUUCUUGAAUUGAAGGAAUGAUAGACGCGGUGUUGCAUCCGUAAUGGUCUAGGUGGUGCUGCUAGUUACGUGGUGAAGAAAUAGCGUAGCAGAGAUGGUGGUAAAGGAAUUACAGAGAAAUCGAGAGGAGGAGGAAGAAGAAGAAUGGAGGAAAAAUGAACUUUUUGGAGGUGGCCGGAAUCGACCCCAGCACCUCUAACUUGAUUCCGCUUUUUUCUUCUUUUCAGUUUACAAAAAUAUCCUCGAUAUUGUAAUUAUUUACUUCUGUUUAAGGGAAGGUAAACAUUAAGGAGGGACAGUGUUGUCCUUUCAUCUUUGAACCAAAUCUAAUCUUUUUGGUCUAAUUGGAAAAAAGUGGGACACAAAGUCACCA